GUGGGAUCACGAUCAGUAGAAUGGUAGAAUGCUGACGUCACAAAAAUAAUUCUACAAUCGACAAUUUUGGUAUCACGUUAACACGCUUGGGAAAGUAGAAUCGGUGCUCGGCAAUGUUCGGAUAUUCUACUAGCCAUGUUAAAAAUAUCGCUUCUUCUUCUUAAAAAUAUUGCUGUUUGACGUGUGGUUGUCUUUAUUUUGUGGUGGUUGUAUUCUUAGACAAGGUUGUAUUCAAAAAGCUAACCUAAAGAAAGAUUAUAAUUUGUGAUUAUUUUCAAUUUGUAUAUUUUUGUCUUGGGUUGUUUGGAACUAUUUUAUUAGAAAUCACUAAAUUUUUAAAUUUUACCUGUGACUAGAGAACAUUGUUAUAUUAAGGUAUUUUUAUUCUUGGUAUGAAACAAUGUUAAGACAAUACUGUGUGCUUUUUCAGUCCUAUGAAAGAAAAUGUUUUGGAUGUAACAGAGAAGUACUACAACUUUGUUAUGAAGAUUUGUCUUUAUGUUAUUUUUAUAAUGUUCAUGGAUUAUAUUUGUUUUUAUGUUUUCUUCAGUUUAAAUAAAGUUUAUGUUUUACCCA